AUGGAUGUGCUGCUCACAAGUACUUUGAUAGGCAUACGAGAAACCCUUGCAAGUCCAGUACAGACUGUAGCCCCAAAGGACCCAAAUGCUCCUUUAUCGGACAUGCUCAAGAAGAUUCCGUUGCCACCUGAUGAGAGGAUGUCGGUCGGGAUGCAUCUAUGCAAGCCAGAAUUUGCAGUCCAUCGAGGUUUUCUUGUCAGCAUGGGUCAAGAAUACCUGGAGCGUUGGGUGUAUACAUACUUAUCUGACAAUUAUCCCGCUGGCAAACGUGCCGACAAUGAUCUUGUUGGUAACCUUGGAAACAAUGAUACUGCUAGUAACCUUGGCGAUGAUCCUGCUGUUAACUCUAGCCCUUUCUGA
rnacentral:rRNA from 1 species